rnacentral:rRNA from 1 species
UACGGAGGAUGCGAGCGUUAUCCGGAUUUAUUGGGUUUAAAGGGUGCGUAGGCGGGCUUUUAAGUCAGCGGUAAAAAUUCGGGGCUCAACCCCGUCCGGCCGUUGAAACUGGGGGCCUUGAGUGGGCGAGAAGAAGGCGGAAUGCGUGGUGUAGCGGUGAAAUGCAUAGAUAUCACGCAGAACCCCGAUUGCGAAGGCAGCAUACCGGCGCCCUACUGACGCUGAGGCACGAAAGCGUGGGUAUCGAACAGG